ACGGUGGUAGCCAGCCAAAGAGCAUAUGAAAAAUAGCAGUGACGAGGCAAAGGUUUCCACUUUGGUCCAUACUUUCUCUUGGUCCAAUUGUUGUUGCUACAAAGGGACAAAAGGCAAAACAGUCCACUCACAAGCGAAAGCGAAGACGAUGCAAAAAUUGCAAGUCAUUUGGACAUGAUAGACGAAAAUGUACUAAAGUGUGCACAGAUGCAUAUGAAACUCACAAUUAUGAUCAUGUUGGGGCACCCAAUAAUGUUGAGAAUGUAAAUUUGAAUCUGAUAGGAUCAUCCGAUGGCCUAUUGCAAUCAGAUUCACAGCAUGGAUGCAAUAAGGAAUUAAUGGAUAGUAAUUGGUUUCAGAUCAUUCCUCCUGGUCAGGCAUUAAUGUGGGCAUGCAAUCCUUCAUUAAUCCAAAGUCAUGUACAAAACACUAGCUUGUUAGGAGAUGAAAAGUAUUCAGUGAAUGAACCAGAUUUCAGCCAAGACCAUUAAGGAAUUUUAUUCUUGAGAGAGUACAAAUGUUUUUGCACGUCUUUGCUCAAAGCUUUUAGGAUGAUUUAAGUUUCUUCGAAGCUUGCUUGGAAAAAAGUUUGGUGAUCAAAUUUCAGAUAUUGUUAGCAUCCAAGUGCUCUUGGGUUUGUAAACCAGAAAUGUCAAUCCAAACUGAAGCUUUUGAUAGUGAUAUCAGAGCCCUUGAUGCUGGUGAUCAAAUUCUCAAAUCAAGUUACUAGCCUUUUGAUUGCUUCAGAUUUCUGAAGCCAAAGUCUUUGUGCUCUAAAUUCAGUUCUUGGCCAUGUAAUCUUGUCAUGCUUAGAUAGCUAUAUCUAGUGUCCUGCCAGCUUAAUUUUGAUGCGUAAGUAUCAAUUAUUAAAAGUUAGAUUCAUUCUGAUGCUCAAAAUGAGCCGUUUUCUCCUAUUUUGAAAUACCAAUUUCAUAUCAAAUGUCUUGUGCAUGUAGAUUUUGCUGUUUACUUCAAAUUGGACUGGCUUACUUGAUGAGCAGAACUCGAAAAGCAACUCAAAUACUCAUGUUAUACAAUACUCAGCACACGGUUUUUUAGGCUUUAAAACGUCAUUAAUGAAAGUUACCCAUUCGGUUGUUUA